rnacentral:misc_RNA from 1 species
AACGCACCUUGCGCUCCUUGGUAUUCCGAGGAGCAUGCCUGUUUGAGUGUCAUUAAAUUCUCAACUUUAUUAAUUUUGUUAAUAAAUGUUGGAUGUGAGGGUUUUGCAGGCUUUAAUUUAGUCUGCUCCCUUCAAAUUUAUUAGCUGAUGCCCUGUGUGGACUCGGUCUCUAGUGUGAUAAUUAUCUACGCUGUUGACUUCCACUUUAAAUGGUUGCAUUGCUUCCAAUCGUCCAUUUAAUGGACAGUUUUGACAAUUUUGACCUCAAAUCAGGUAGGACUACCCGCUGAACUUAA